AGAGUCAAGAGAAAUUUUCCAGCCAAAAUGUGUGCGUGGUUCGAGGCAUUGCCCUUCAUCGUACUAGGUGCUAAAGAACUAAUAGAAGCUUGGAAUAGAACUACGACAAACUCAGAAGAGAGACACCAAUUUAGAGAGGUAUUACCCUGGAAGCUCCGACCAGCAUGGAUGUGGCUGCCCUGUCUUCUCUCCCAUACGAAGGUGAUCAGCUUCCCUGACCAUCCACCGUGACCUCACAGAUGACGACCCCGACCUUGUAUGGUGUUGUGAUCUGAUAAGUCAAUUAUGUCCUCACUCCAGAGGUGGGCACUAUGAUGACCUGACCUUCCUGGGUACUCUUCUCACCAGCGAGGGUAUUGAGACACUGAUUCGAGAACUUCACGAGAGGAACGUCAGCGCUGGCAACCCCUGGACCAUGUUCUCAGCGCCACAGGGUCAACCCGGCACCACCCAGGCCCUGGCCGCCUCGCUACGCCUCUCCGGUCUCUAUGUCUUCUAGGGCCUGCAGGACCAAGUCGCAAGAUGAUCAAACAUUUGGUUCCUGUUAAAAUAUCUAUGAGACAGAAGGCUCUUAUAUAUAAUCACAGACUUGUUAACAUUUACCAUUGUUGCUAUCUGUUUAGUGCAGUUGUGCUUAGGUAUUUCUGAUGCUGUAUAUUGUGAAAAAUGUAUUGAAUAAUUAGUUAUAAACUCAGCAUUACUUCCCAAAAUCAAGAACUGGCCAACGAA